GUUAUGGACCAGCGGGUCCAAAUCUCCGACCCGUAAACCGCUCGCUCGCCCCCCCGCCUCCCGUUCUCUUGCCGGCGAUGACGCCGCCGGCGGCGGCCUCGCCGGGGCGUAAGUCUCCGGCCGCGGUCCUCUUCCUCUGCGUGGUCACUAUCUCAUUACUCAUGUUCAUACUCCUUGCCUCCUACACCCCCCGCCUCCAGCCCCACGGUCGCAGCCCCCACCGCCGCCUCAAGCUCCACCCCAAGAACUCCGCCGCCGUCGCUUCUUCCUACGGGGCCGGCGCCGUCCACGAUUCCGGAGGAAACCGCCACGCGGCGCCCUUCGACCCGGCCAUCGCCGAGCUGGAGCGGCGGCUGGAGGACAAGGAGUGGGAGCGCGAGCACUACCGCAUCCUCCAUGGCGACGCCGAGAAGGACGACCACAUGAAGGAGUGGGAGGAGUUCCUCAGGGAGGAAGAGGACUUCAUCAACGACGACGAUCGCUUCAACGUGUCCGACCGCAUCCGCGCGCUGUUCCCCAAGAUCGACCUCACCCCCAAGGACGGCUUCGUCUCCCUCGAUGAGCUCAUCAGGUGGAACCUCGAUCAGGCCAGGGCCGACCAGCUCCACCGCUCCGCCAGGGAGAUGGAGCUCUACGACAAGAACGGCAACGGGAUCGUCUCCUUCACUACUUUCCGGGCGCUGCGCCAACAGUCCCAUGGGGAUGGCAACUCACUGGGGUUCCCGUGGUGGAAAGAGGAGCACUUCAAUGCUUCGGACGUCAACGGGGAUGGUUUCCUCAAUAAAACUGAGUUUCACGACUUUCUUAAUCCAAGUGAUUCGGAGAAUCCUAAAAUUGUCAACUUGCUCUGCAGACAAGAAUUAAGGCAGAGAGAUAAAGAUGGUGAUGGAAAGUUAAACUUUGAAGAAUACUUUCAUGGGCUACAUGACCAUAUACAUGGUUAUGAUGAUGAGAAUGCAGCUAUUUCUCAUAUUGGGAACAUGACAAUUGCAAAGGAGCGGUUUUCCAAGCUUGACAAAGAUAAUGACGGGUUCAUUUCAGAGCAUGAACUAGAACCUGUUCUUGAUAAGCUCCAUCUGUCAGAACGCUAUUAUGCCAGACAGCAAGCCACACAUGCUAUUUCAGAGGCAGACAAAGAUCAUGAUGGAAGACUAACACUGGAAGAGAUGAUCGAGAACCCCUAUGCAUUUUAUGGUAGUGUUUACUUCAGCGAUGACGAGGACUACUUCCAUGAAGAGUUCCGUUAAGGCAUCUGCAGAUCAUAGGCAUCCUAACCAUGAAAUGUGACAGGCAAUCUAGCAGGAAGGAUUCCGAGUGCAUCAUUACUAACCAAAAUGUUGUGUGAAUACUCGCAAGAAUCAGCGUGCCACGGUAUCUUAUCUCUGUACCCUUACCGUGCCUUGGCAUCGCCUGUAUCUGGACAGCACACAGCUUAGAGUUGGCAUGGCGUGACACGGGGGGAUCAGGUGCUGCUUUGAUUCUCUGAAUUGUUUAGUGAAAUGAAAUGGCAUCUUACUGGUGAGAUAGGAGUCCAGUCCACAUGCCAGGUUAGUUUAGAUUAAGCUGAGCUGGCACCGUCUCAGUUUUGUAAAACGCACAGAACACUGGUGGUGAAGAAUGAGAAAAUUAACACUUGGCAGUGAUGAGCAGACGCAAGUUCGAUAAUACACACUGCUGUUUCGUUCUGUGAAAUGAAUCUGAUCAGCUGUUUGCUCUCCUGAUCCGUCUUGCCUAUGUUUCAAGGAAAAAGUAUGAUAAUUCUUGCUGUGUCUAUUAAUGCAAAACAAAGAUGCUCUUAAUAUUCUCUAUGAUAUAGGAUUAGGACAGGUGAAGGAUGUUUCGGCACUUCCUGAGAUGUUCAUGAAUUGUUUCCUGCUAUGCUCUAUGGUUAUGUAUAAGGUGCUGUACUGUUACAUAUUUCAAACUUCAUUCAUAGGCGCUGCUCCACUUUUGCAAGGGAAAUUUUAUGUCGAC
rnacentral:rRNA from 1 species